rnacentral:rRNA from 1 species
AACGAACGCUGGCGGCGCGCCUAAUACAUGCAAGUCGAACGAGAAGCUGUAGCAAUACAGUUGUACAGUGGCGAACGGGUGAGGAAUACAUGGGUGACCUACCCUCGAGUGGGGAAUAACCAGCCGAAAGGUUGGCUAAUACCGCGUACGCUUCCCAGUCUACGGGUUGGGAAGGAAAGCGAUGCCGUGGGUAUCGCGCUCAAGGUUGGGCUCAUGUCCUAUCAGCUUGNGGUGGGGUAACGGCUCACCAAGGCAACGACGGGUAGCUGGUCUGAGAGGACGAUCAGCCACACUGGCACUGCGACACGGGCCAGACUCCUACGGGAGCAGCAGUAAGGAAUAUUGGUCAAUGGACGCAAGUCUGAACCAGCCAUGCCGCGUGGAGGAUGAAGGUCCUCUGGAUUGUAAACUUCUUUUAUAUGGGAACGUAAAAAGGGUUUUCUAACUCGUCUGACGGUACCAUAUGAAUAAGCACCGGCUAACUCCGUGCCAGCCGCCGCCGU